AACGAACGCUGGCGGCAUGCCUAACACAUGCAAGUCGAACGAAGCCUUCGGGCUUAGUGGCGCACGGGUGCGUAACGCGUGGGAAUCUGCCCUUGGGUUCGGAAUAACAGUUAGAAAUGACUGCUAAUACCGGAUGAUGUCUUCGGACCAAAGAUUUAUCGCCCAAGGAUGAGCCCGCGUAGGAUUAGGUAGUUGGUGGGGUAAUGGCCCACCAAGCCGACGAUCCUUAGCUGGUCUGAGAGGAUGAUCAGCCACACUGGGACUGAGACACGGCCCAGACUCCUACGGGAGGCAGCCUGAGAGCCAAGGCACACAGGGGAUAGGG
rnacentral:rRNA from 1 species